GUCUAUGGCCAUACCACCCUGAAAGUGCUCAAUCUAGUCUGAUCUCAGAAGCUAAACAGGGUCAGAUGUGAUUAGUACUUGGACGGGAGAAAUGGAAAAAAUAUUCCAUGUUCA
rnacentral:rRNA from 1 species